rnacentral:rRNA from 1 species
CCAGCACCCGCGGUAAUUCCAGCUCCAAUAGCGUAUAUUAAAGUUGUUGCAGUUAAAAAGCUCGUAGUUGGAUUUGUGGGUGGAGCGACCGUCCCGACGCUUUGCGUGGGUGAUGGUCGUCUCCGUCCAUCUUUGGGUGGAAUCCGUGUGGCAUUAAGUUGUCGUGCGGGGGAUGCCCAUCUUUUACUGUGAAAAAAUUAGAGUGUUCAAAGCAGGCUUACGCCGUUGAAUAUAUUAGCAUGGAAUAAUGAGAUAGGACCUGGGUACUAUUUUGUUGGUUUGCGCACCGAGGUAAUGAUUAAUAGGGACAGUUGGGGGUAUUCGUAUUCCAUUGUCAGAGGUGAAAUUCUUGGAUUUUUGGAAGACGAACGACUGCGAAAGCAUUUACCAAGGAUGUUUUCAUUAAUCAAGAACGAAAGU